rnacentral:lncRNA from 1 species
UAUUUAUUUAUAAAUAGUAAAUUUAAAUAAUUAAUAAAUUUAUACAAUUAUUUUAUGUUUAGUGAAGGUAACCUCACUACUCUAUCUGAAGAGGUGACAAAAUUCAUAAAUACAACUAUCAGCUUCAGAAGAAAUGUAACUAUAACAGUUGCAACUGCGUAAAACCAAACAGACUAGGUGUAGUUAUAACUGCAGCAUUUGCAACUGCAUGUAUUUUCAAUUACACUGUUUCUGCAACUAAAUCCAACCAAACGGCCCCUUAAUGCUGACCUGUUUUGCACGGCCAUUCAAACAAAGUCUUGGAAUUCUUGGAGUUACAGUACUACCUUAAUUUGUUGUUGAUACGCUACCAUGCACAUAACUUUGUUGUUGACGCAUCUACCUUACUUUUAAAGUUUUUUUUUUUUUUUUUCUCAUUUAGGUACCAUCCCACUUUUAUAACUCACGUGUCCCUCCAUCUUCCCUUUUCCUUCCCACGUUCCUUCAUCUUUCCCCCUCUAUGUAACUCAUCAUUCUUCUCUAUAGUCACCACACACCCUUUUAAUCCCUUUCCAUUGAAAUUCUCCAUCUUCCUUUCUCACCCCAAAUCCUUCCAUCUUCCCUCAUCUGCAUAACGCUCCAUUCUUCUCCAUAACCACCAUGAAUAUUUGUAAAGUUAUUAUAAAGAAUUUGUUAGUAAUAUUUAUCUACCACCACUUUCUUUUUCUUUUGAAUAGCUUAAGAAUUUUUCCUAGAUCUCACCCACCGUUCAAAAUCACCUCAAAUUAGUAGGGUUUCACAUCAUUUUAUAUUAAUUUUAUCUUUGAUUGAUCUAAUUUUCAACGCUAUUAAUCUCUAUAACGUUCAUAUCAGAUCAUUGAUUGUCUUUCUUGCAGACUAUUUAAAUUAAUAUUCUUUACUUCAUAUUUAGACUACUAUUUUCUAUUUAUUUGAUGACUAUAUAUUUCAAAUUUAUUUUUUCAAACUAUCAUCGAUGAUCAAUGAUGAUGAUAGACAAGAUAAUUGUUCAAUAAUAUCUAUCCGUCGUAUCGCGCGGAUUACUACACUAGUAAAAAUUAUUCUAUUUUUCGCUCCAAAUCCGUUUAUUUUCUCUCGUUA